AGCGAACGCUGGCGGCAGGCUUAACACAUGCAAGUCGAGCGGGCACUUUCGGGUGUCAGCGGCGGACUGGUGAGUAACGCGUGGGAACGUGCCCUCUGGUUCGGAAUAACUCAGGGAAACUUGAGCUAAUACCGGAUACGCCCUUUUGGGGAAAGGCUUGCUGCCGGAGGAUCGGCCCGCGUCUGAUUAGCUAGUUGGUGAGGUAACGGCUCACCAAGGCGACGAUCAGUAGCUGGUCUGAGAGGAUGAUCAGCCACACUGGGACUGAGACACGGCCCAGACUCCUACGGGAGGCAGCAGUGGGGAAUAUUGGACAAUGGGCGCAAGCCUGAUCCAGCCAUGCCGCGUGAGUGAUGAAGGCCUUAGGGUUGUAAAGCUCUUUUAUCCGGGACGAUAAUGACGGUACCGGAGGAAUAAGCCCCGGCUAACUUCGUG
rnacentral:rRNA from 1 species